rnacentral:lncRNA from 1 species
AGGAAGAAGGUCAUGCUUCUGGAGGAGCUAAAGAGAGACACUGCUGAGUUUGGCUGGCGGUUUGGAGCCAUAUACGGAAAGUCUGGAGUGUUUCCCAGUGAAUACGUCCGUCCUGUGGCUGCUCCAGACUUCUUGAUUCUCCCUGCUGAGCGUUUGGAGCCCCGAGACAGACAGGGACGAGUUGCUGCCUCUGCUGCUGUUGCCGUAGCGAUGGGCUCAGCAGUAGCUGCCCAUGAACUUGACCUUUCCACAGAGGUGGUAAAUGAAAUGUAUGGGGACAGUCUGGGCAUCGAACUGGACGAUCUGCCUCUACAUGGGGGCCAGUACCACAUGACUGAGUUUGCCAAGAAGUACUUCAGAGAGGCUCAGAGGAACAAGAGUGACCAGAAAGCCAAAAAAGUGAAGGAGGGCAGGGCCCCCUUUGACAUGGUCAAAUUCUCA